UUUGAUUAUGUUUAGAUCAAGGAACGAAGAAAACGAAUUUGGAUCGGGGAAAGUCGAAAGUAAUCGAAUAGUCGAUCGUGUUUGCUGAUAUCCGAGAUUUUGGAGACGCGUUACGAGCUCGGGGAUCGUCAGCAAAGUUCAUCACUCUAUCUACUAUUUCGGUACUUAAAUAUUUGAACUCAACUUAUGGCAUGUAUAGGCUGGACGAGGUUUUGAAUGUUACAUUAUAAAUUCUGUAUAUGAAAUUAAUAGUCAUGCGAAAAUGACUUAUUUCC